GAUGAACGCUAGCGGCAGGCUUAAUACAUGCAAGUCGAGGGGUAGCAAGAUUGUAGCAAUACAAUUGUUGACGACCGGCAAACGGGUGCGGAACACGUACACAACCUUCCUACAAGUGGGGAAUAGCCCAGAGAAAUUUGGAUUAAUACCCCGUAACAUAGCGAUGUGGCAUCACAUUGCUAUUAUAGCUUCGGCGCUUGUUGAUGGGUGUGCGGCUGAUUAGAUAGUUGGCGGGGUAACGGCCCACCAAGUCUACGAUCAGUAGCUGAUGUGAGAGCAUGAUCAGCCACAUGGGCACUGAGACACGGGCCCGACUCCUACGGGAGGCAGCAGUAAGGAAUAUUGGACAAUGGACGCAGGUCUGAUCCAGCCAUGCCGCGUGAAGGAUUAAGGUCCUCUGGAUUGUAAACUUCUUUUAUAAGGGACGAAAAAAGGUCUUUCUAGAUCGUCUGACGGUACCUUAUGAAUAAGCACCGGCUAACUCCGUGCCAGCAGCCGCAGUAAAAC
rnacentral:rRNA from 1 species